rnacentral:rRNA from 1 species
GACGAACGCUGGCGGCGUGCUUAACACAUGCAAGUCGAACGGAAAGGCCCUGCUUUUGUGGGGUGCUCGAGUGGCGAACGGGUGAGUAACACGUGAGUAACCUGCCCUUGACUUUGGGAUAACUUCAGGAAACUGGGGAUAAUACAGGAUAGGAGAUCCUGCUGCAUGGUGGGGGUUGGAAAGUUUCGGCGGUGGGGGAUGGACUCGCGGCUUAUGAGCUUGUUGGUGGGGUAGGGACUGACCAAGGCUUAGACGGGUAGCCGGCCUGAGAGGGUGACCGGCGUCAUGGGGACUGAGGGAGGCACCAGACGGCUACGUUAGGCAACAGGCGGAAGUAUUACGCAGUGGGCGGGAGCGUGAGACGGCGACGCCGCGAGCGGGAUAACGGGCUACUAGGUAUGAACCUCUGUCUCCGGUAACGUAGCGAUAGUGACGGUAAUUAGUAAGAAAGCACCGGCUAACUACGUG